AUUGAACGCUGGCGGCAUGCCUUACACAUGCAAGUCGAACGGCAGCACGGGUGCUUGCACCUGGUGGCGAGUGGCGAACGGGUGAGUAAUACAUCGGAACAUGUCCUGUAGUGGGGGAUAGCCCGGCGAAAGCCGGAUUAAUACCGCAUACGAUCUACGGAUGAAAGCGGGGGACCUUCGGGCCUCGCGCUAUAGGGUUGGCCGAUGGCUGAUUAGCUAGUUGGUGGGGUAAAGGCCUACCAAGGCGACGAUCAGUAGCUGGUCUGAGAGGACGACCAGCCACACUGGGACUGAGACACGGCCCAGACUCCUACGGGAGGCAGCAGUGGGGAAUUUUGGACAAUGGGCGAAAGCCUGAUCCAGCAAUGCCGCGUGUGUGAAGAAGGCCUUCGGGUUGUAAAGCACUUUUGUCCGGAAAGAAAUCCUUGGCCCUAAUACGGUCGGCGGAUGACGGUACCGGAAGAAUAAGCACCGGCUAACUACGUG
rnacentral:rRNA from 1 species